AACGAACGCUGGCGGCGUGGAUAAGACAUGCAAGUCGAACGGGAUUACUUUUGGUAGCAAUACCGAAAGUAAUUCAGUGGCGAACGGGUGCGUAACACGUGGGCAAUCUGCCGAAAAGUGGGGGAUAGCUCGCCGAAAGGCGAAUUAAUACCGCAUGUGGUGAGGGACGACAUCUUCCUGAAUCCAAAGCCGGGGCAACCUGGCGCUUUUUGAGGAGCCCGCGGCCUAUCAGCUGUUGGCGGGGUAACGGCCCACCAAGGCUAUGAC
rnacentral:rRNA from 1 species